CCUGGGAAGGUUGUUUCUUGUGAUGUUGGUGGUGGUGGGUGGGCUUCACUUGGAUGGUAUAUGGGUGGGCUGCCAUUUCCUUUGGGGGUGGGGAUUGUUUUUCCUCUGUUUUUGAGGAAGGGAAUUUGGAAAGCUAUUUUUGUUUCUUUUCUUUCAGAGGAAAAAACUUGACCUGGUAGAUCAGCGGUGGAAGCCGGUGCCACUGCCACUAAUAUUUAGGUCCUGGAACAUCAACGUCCCCGUUGCCGCUGAGAUCUCCAGGUCACCUCCCGUCCCAGCAGAGUCCUCAACACACCGAACAAUGAGCUCCGAGAAAAAAAGUCUGCGUACCUAUGAUGACUGGGGAGGUGACGGAACCGACAGGGACAUGGAGUUCAUACACCAAAGGGCGCUGUGUCGGACAGCAUACCUGCUCAGGCGAUCGGAGUAUGUGCGGAUUUGGCUCGUCGAUGACGUCCAAGAUGUUGUUCAUGUCAGGCAUGUUCUAGAUCUCGGACCUCUGGCACAGCUAACAUUGAGAAACGAGAUGCAAAUGAGCUCUACUGCAUUAGCUCUCUCCCUGGCAAAGAUCUCAAAAAAGACUGGGGUUUCAAGAUGCAAAAAGCUCUUUUGAAGAAGCACUGAGAAGCGUAGCUGCAGCAGUCUGCCAAGGAAACUUAAUGCAUGCUAACUUCUCUUCAACAGUGGAAGAUGUCCAGCAGUGCCAUCAGAACUAGUGGAAACCCAGAGGAACCAGUUAAAUUAAGCCUGUCUGGGAUUACAUGAAGAGACGGAGUGCUGACCAAAUCCUUGCAAGAUGUUUUGGAACCUCUUACUUGCCAAAAUUUUUCAAAAACGGUGUGCAGGUGUUCCUAGAAGAACAGAUGCAAGUUUUGCAGGCAAAUGGUGGUCACACCAAAUAUUGAUUUUAAAUGGGAUUUUUCACUUUUUAUUUUGUAAAUACUAAAAAUAAAUUAUAAACAUUCUA